GAGAGGAGGAGGGGUAAAGAUAAUAGAGCUGGAUGUGCUGGGCUUCUCUGGAACGAGGAGUUGCUAACCAUAAUUAACACUAAUCCACUCUCCUUAAUUGGAUUCAUUUGUGACUAAUCCCUUCCAUUCUUUUUUAUUUUAUUUCUCUUCCUUCCUUUUUCUUUUCUUGAAUUGAGUUGAUAGCUUUUGGUGGUUGUUGGUUGUCAAUUGUUCGGACACUCGAAAAGAAAAGGGAGGAGGGGAUUCCUCCUCCUCCUCCUUCUCUUCCUCCUCUUGGAGUCUUUUAUCAUUUGGUGCUGCUUAUUUUGUGACUGACCUUCCUUUUCUUUUGCAUCUGUUCUCUCUCUCUCUUUUUCUCUCUAUCUUUUUCCUUGGCUUUGAAGCUUGGUUCAAACAAAAUCAACAGCUUUAGCUUGUCCUCCUCCUUCCUUAUCUUGGAACAUAAAAAUUGGUGGUGGGAUUCACCUCUGCAACCUAACCUGGGUUGGUUUGCCAGAUACUUCCCCCCCCUUCCUUUUUUUCUACCACUGACAUGGUUACCAGAUAGCCAAAUUGACAAAGAUGAGACAUGUAGUAUUAUUAUCCUAUUCCUACAUUGAAUGGAAAGGAUUUCUCAUGCUUUGUGAAUUAUGAUAUGUUUUGAAGAUUUAUUUUUUAUGGUGCUCUUAUUUUGGAUUUUUUUUUCAAAAAAUAAGUAGCAGAAACAUAAUUCAAUGUUGACACUUCAGGUUUCAAAAAAGAAUUAUUGUGAGAUUUGGAACUCUCAUUUUUGGUAAAAUGGAUCUAGAAUAAAUUUUAUCUAAGAAUUGUUUUCUCAUUUAUACUUUAUUAGGUUAGAUAUGUAGCUUUGAUACAAAUCUCAUAUUAGAAUUAUUUUCCCAUUUAUACUUUUUUUAAGGCAGAUAUCAGAAUAUAUACAUAUAAACAUAUGAAAAUAAUGCAUAUUUUUUCCAUUUGUCUGAAAUGACUAUAAUUCGGAAAAAAAUUCAGAAAAAAAGUUUUCUGAAGAAAAAAGUCAUUUGAUGCUUUUUAAAAGAAAUAAAAAUCUAUUUAAUUAGCUGUAGGUAAAGUAAAGUAGUUUCAUAAAUAGGAUGCUUUGUUUCAAUUGGAGAAGAAAUAGAAGAAAAGUAGGUGCCUGAUUUACUUAUGAUCUUCUUAGAAUUUCAAAUCAUUGACAUUAAAUGCCUGUUCAAACCUUAUGAGAAGUCAAAUUAUAGCAUAAAUGAAUUGCUAUUGUUUAGGAAGGUGUGUAAAAGAUUAUGUAUUUGCAAUUGAUUUCAAGAAAAGAAAACUCUGCAGUGCUUCACAUCCACAUCAAAAGUAUAUGCUGAAGGGGGGAUAUCAGAUACAGUCUCCACUGAAAAUUUUAUGUAGACAAAAUUGUACUAAUAAUUGGUCCUUUAUUUGAAUUCAAUGUUUUCUCCAGAAACUAUCAUCUGUUGAACAUUUUCCCCUUUUUUAGAAAGGAAGAAGGAACAUCUCAUGCUUGACUUUAUUUAUGAAAUGGUUCAUCAUAGUCAACAAAAGCAUUGGUUGAAUUUAUAAUGGCAAAACUAUGUCAAAUUUGACAGCCAAAAAUCUAGAAAACCAGCAAUAUGUUUCCACUUUUUAUUCUGCCCAUUUCUUGUAUAAGCAAACCUUGCUUUAAAUAUUACCAUUCAAUCUUUUCUAAAAUUUAACUUACAAAAUUACAUGAUGAUGCUGAGCUACAUAUAUUUGGGAUGAUUUAUAAGGAAAAAUCUCAAAUUUUAAGAUUUUAUUAGAUAAACCCCCUUCUUGGAAAUUUAUAAAAUACUCUUAAAAAUUAAGACAAUCAUUAGAUGUAAAAUGACUCGAAUCGAUUUUGAUCCAUAUGUCCAUAGUUCUGAAUUUAUAAAUUUCUGAUAAUUGUUUGAUGGUCGAUAGUUAGUGAAAUAUAUUAGUGUAAUACGGUUCAAGAUUAGUGCAUAAUAAUAGAACAUAUCUUUUAACAUAUCAAUUUUCUUUGUUAUUGCAAAUCUUUCAAGUAUUAAGGCAUAUGUAUAAUUCAUAUAAAAAUCAAAUACUAGUAAAAUGGAUGUAAAUUUAUCUAAAACAAGAAAUAAACAUGGAGACAUGUUAGGAUAUAUAAAAAAAGAGAGUAAUAUAUCAUUUUGAAUUAAAUUAUGAAAAGAUAGACAAUUGGCAUGAGAAGGGAGAAAAAGAUACUAGAAAGAGAAGGCCAAAGGAUGGAGAUUCUUACUCACCAUUAAGCAUCUAAUCCCUCCAUUGAGGAGCGGUCCCUUUUGGUACAUGUCACUACCAAAACUACACACACAGCAAUUUGGCUUCCUUUUGUGAACUCAAUAAUUUAGCAUAUAAGAAAAGAAAGGGCAUGGAAUUCAAAUUUUAGCUUCAUGGAGAUUUGAUAGCUACAUGGAAGAAGAAUUUCUAAUAAAUUCUCCUUUGAUUGUAUCUUACUUUUGUUGUUUGAUGGAAGAGGUCGUCCUUGGUGACUUAUUAAUCUUUCAAAACAAAGGAAUAUAUUACGAAACUUGAUUUAAUCACCCAAAUUUUUUUUUUUGUAGUGAUAUGAUUCUAUGAUGGUAUUCAUAUGUAUCUCAAGAUUUUGUUCAAUAUCACUAUAUCUAAAAGCUUAAACUGCAAACAAAAUAAAUGAUAUAAUUUAUAUUUUGAAUAUCUUCCUCAUAUAUAUAUAUAUAUAUAUAUAUAUAUAUAUAUAUAUAUAUAUAGAGAGAGAGAGAGAGAGAGAGAGAGAGAGAGAGAGAGAGAGANNNNNNNNNNNNNNNNNNNNNNNNNNNNNNNNNNNNNNNNNNNNNNNNNNNNNNNNNNNNNNNNNNNNNNNNNNNNNNNNNNNNNNNNNNNNNNNNNNNNNNNNNNNNNNNNNNNNNNNNNNNNNNNNNNNNNNNNNNNNNNNNNNNNNNNNNNNNNNNNNNNNNNNNNNNNNNNNNNNNNNNNNNNNNNNNNNNNNNNNNNNAGAGAGAGAGAGAGAGAGAUUAAUGGAUGGAAAACCUUUGAAUUCCAUUUACACAGGCGAAUAGAAUACUGCAGUGGAAGGUAAUGUUUGAGUUGUGCUGAUUACUAGUAAAUUUUUGAAGUAUUCCAAUAUUGAUUUAAGGGUGUCUUUAAUGGCAAGCAUUUGUUUGUGUGAUUGGAUAUUUCUCAUUAAUUACAAGGGUACAUGGCCACCUAAUAUACUUAUUGGUCAAGUAAUUCACAUGCAUUACAAUAAAUGAAUACACAUAUAAUGGUCCAAAAGAUUAAGAAUAAGUUAUAAUAUAUAUUUUUUUAAAAAAGAAAGUGAGAGAUUUUGAUCCUUGUACCCCUUGAGGCACAUAAUUAUGAACUCCCAUUCUAUUUGAUAUAGGAGUGACAACAAUAGUAAUAAUAAUGAUGAAAGAAACCUUUGGGAAAAGGGGAAAAGGAAUUGAAUGAGAUCAUUAGUGUCCUCUAUUAGUUUUUAAUAGUUUAUUGAGACCGAUGCUGUUCUAUAUCUUUGUAAUCAUUUUGUGUUAAGUAGUUAAUAUUUUUCCUUUUUUUAUACUUUAUUUAUUCAAACCUUAUAAGUCUUCAAAAUAGUAUAAUGAACAUAAACAUCUGUUUUCUUUUUAUGAUAUGGUAUCUCUCAUUGGAUUUAUUAUAUGAUGGUGAUGCAAAUCUAAUAAGAGAUUGAAAAGGUUCCCUCACUAUUAAAAAUGUCGAUUCAAAACACUAGCUUUACAAAUAGGUCAAAUUACAAAUGGAAACAUGUAUCUUAUCAACUCAAGAGAAAAAAAAGGGACCAAACUCUGAAAGAUUACCACCUCUUUGUUCAUUGAUAAUUAUAUAUUAGAUGGUGGUAAUUGAGUCAAAGCAGGAGCUUCCAUGGCCACUUAAAGCCAAAGACAAGCUUGCUAAGAAUACAGAGAGGUAUGACAUCGAGGUAAUGUGUGGGGUUUGUUCUUUGUCGGCUUAUCUUCCCAACAACAUGUGUUGGUGGCAGUAGUGAUCACAUUUCACACCUCAAAUAUGAGUCCCCAUUGCAACCAUUUCCCAUCUCACCACCAUUAUGUCAAGGGGUUGGCCAAGACUUGUAGUUGAGAGAAAGGUAAACAUGGUGGGCCUCGGAGAAUAAAAACAUAUGCCAACCUCAUCAUGACUAGUUGAAUGGCUGUGCAUUUUGAUGGAAGGAACAUAUGUUUUGUGGAGAACUAAUAAUACUUUUAUGUGACCAUUGUUGUCAUCUUUUAUCAAAAUUGGUAUCUUCAUUCUUGCCUAUUAUUAUGUCAUCUUGGUCAAAGAAAUAAUCAGGAUUAGUCAGCAUAAAUUUGAUGCUAAAUUAAGGUGAGAGCAUUCUCCCAUCCAAAGUUUUCUUAGAGAUCAUCAAGCUUAAGAAACACCAUUGUAAGGUUUGGAGCUUAACUAUUCAAAUAGGAGCUACUUCUUCCAACAUCAUUGGAAAGGCUGCCGAUGGUCAUAGUUCAUGGUUGGAAGAAAAAGGUUUAGGGAGGGGGAGGGAAAAGGAUUCCUACAGUGCCAUUUUCUUUUCUUGAUGUUGCAACUGUCACCUCUUGAAUCAAAGCACUCACAUGCACCACUGCCUGAUUCAACCACUCACAGGCUUUGGACAUGAAGAAGAAAGAAGAGGAUAGCUUUUAAUACGUUUCCUUCCUCCACCACCAUCUCACCUCCACUGCAGUACCCCAUUGCAUUGUCUGAAAGCUCUGCCCACCUUAGCCACCAGUAUCAUGUGACAUUGCUGCACUUCAUAGCAGAAACCUUCUCUGUGUAAAAAGAAGGAACCCACUAUUCCUUGACAAAGCUUUGUUGAUAUUGUUAUGCAUUCAAGCAUGCUUCUCACGAUAAAAGAAGAUGAGAGAGAACUGAGCAAGGUAGAAAAAGUUGUGUUGAGUGGUGUCAAUGAUAUGCCACACAAGAUUUCUCCAAGCUUGCACUCCCAUCAUAAAGCCAAACAUUAUUAAGAGGCACCCAAAGUCUUUCAUCUCUUCUUAGUAGUACAGACAACCAAGGGGAGUUGGUUGUCAGGAAUCCUUUUCUUUGCCACCACGCUGCUUCAAGCUGGGGUUGUCAUCUCCCUCCCCAUUCUUAAUGCUAUCAUGCUCUCCUCACCCACCAUCUUGCACACAUCCCCAUUCCUCACUGACACCUUCUCCUGUUCUUCACCUAACUCUCUUUGCCACCAUUACCUCUGAAAGUGAGACCCAUGCAUGAGAGAUAGGGGGAGCAUCUAAUCCUUCCCCUCUUGGCUUCCUCAUGUAUGGUCUGAUGCGUUGGAAUCACAACAAGAAGCUUUGUUUCUUUCCCACAUUUGAAGUGCUCUGUGGGGAGGUUUAACCUCCCCAUCACAUGUGGCUUCUUCUUUGCGAGUGGUGGGUUGGGAGUGAAGGGUUCAUGUGGUUGUGAGGCCAGGCAAUGAAUAGAAACCCAUAACACCCCUCUCUCUCUCUCUCUCUCUCUCUCUCCACUUAAGAUAUUUGUUAGGGUGAUUCAACCUUUUAAAAAUGUGAAAUAUCUUUCAAUGUGUUGCAAGAACUCAUUUUGAUUGCUUGUGUGGCAAUCUGACCUAGAAAAGGGACAUGCUCCAUUUGUCGAAGCUGGUUGAACCACAGCUAAGAACCCGGAAUCUUAGAUUCGAGUGCAAAACAUACUUAUCUCUGAUAAGGAAAAGCAUGAUCCGAUGCUUGGGAUUUAUCUAAUCCUAUUAAAAGACUAAUCACAUUAAAAAACAAAAUCAAGAUCUGCGAUAAUAUUGAUCUAGUGAUAGUGUAGUAUAAUCAUUCAUCAGGAGUUGUCGAUAAUUUGAGGAUUCUGAUAAACAUUUUGAGAUUGAAUUCUAUUUUUACCAUUCAUUCUUGAAAAAAAUAGUUCUUUAAUGAUGAAAAAUAUUUUUAUAUAUAUAUAAAUUAUGUUGAAAUCAUAAAAGGGUUAUUUGAGCACUAUUAAUAUAAAAAAAAACAUCUCUACCAUCUUCUCCAUCGGUAGGUUCUUACUGCUUUCCCGUGCUAUUGUGGAUAUGGGGCUCCAUGCUCUUUUGGCUGUAACCAUCAACAAAAGAAGAGAAGGAAUAGUAGAAGGAAAGGAGGAGGAGAUCAACAAGAGCAAAGAAAAAUAAAGAAAAUGGAAUAGGAGAAGCAAACAAAUUUAAAACAAGAAAAAAUAAAUGAGGAGGGAAUGGAGAAUAAGAAGAAAAGAAUUAUCUAAGCCCACAAGUGUAUCAGUGCAUGUUAAUCGACUAAGCUAGCAAUGCAGCACUGGAAUCAUCUAUAGAACAAUUCAGUACUAUACAGAUUUCAUUAUAAUAUGUGGGGAUAUCGACAUAGUCCUUGACAAUGCCGAAGCCAAUGCAUGAACAACGUACUUUUCGAGUACUUGUACUGAAGAGUGGACGCAUCUAAAGCUUGUCGACAAAGGGAAGAUAAAGGAAUUACUUUUAACUCCCAAGAGACACUGUUAGGGGUACGAAAAGGCUUCCCAAAGAUUAGAUUUGAUUAUAUACAUAGCUACUGAUAAGCCUUAACUUAAUUUGCCUUGCAAAACAUACUAAUUAGACAAGAUUUCGAAAUUUCUAGCAUGUAAAGAGAGAAUUGACAUGACUUGUAUGCGUAAAGGCCUUAGCUGUUUAAUCAUAACCUGUUUGAAGGUGACAAUUAAAAGAGAAAAGAAGAGUAGAAUUAGAAGACCACCAGCUGCUACUCAUUCCAUGCAGCUCUCUUCUUUUAUAUAUACAUGGCAUGUUGUUUCCAUGUGGCAGAAGUUUAAGGUUUUGAAGAAUGCAUGAAGGAGAAGCACUGGUCUUGAUUGAGGAGUGAGUUUGUGCUGCUUAAAUUACAAGGUUAACUUCAGCCAUCUUGUAUUCUACCCAAUUAUUUCCUGUAUGCUAUUGAACAUUUACCUAUAUAUAUAUAUAUAUAUGUGUGUGUGUGUAUAUCUUGGACUUUAUUAGUAUCUGAAACAUCCAUGAAUUCUAUUUCCAAAGUUCCAGGUGACAUACAUUAGUGCUCGAGGAGCCCUUGCUGAGAUUUGCUCGGGCAUGGAUUAGUGCAAGUAUGACUUACUUCGAGACAAUACCUAUUUAGGUUUUCAUCACUCUCAUGAACACUAACGUUGUUAAUGUUUACAAACACCUAAAGCCAUGCCAUGACCGAUGCUUCCAACCUCAUUAAGUGGCCAAUGCUUAUCUUCAAGACCAAAUCACCGUCAACAAUUUAAAGGCGUUGCUCUUUCCACAUCCUUCUACUUGGUGUGAUUUAGACAAUGAGGAACUCCCACUUCUUGUCUUUUUCCCUUUACUUUCUUUCUUGAUCUGAAUCUCGUCAAGUUCGAAGACUUCCUGGUUGUAUGUAUUGGGAUGGUUGUGAACUUGAUCUCUUCCCACGGCAUCACACAACAUGCCUGCCCACAUGUAUCUUCUUUGUGCUACAUAGAAAAACCUCCCACUACGUCCCAAGUCUCUCUCUAAUUUGUCCCAACAAAAAACCGAGCACUCUCCUUUUCUUUCUGACAUGUUGUUGAUACCAAAACCAAAGAGUGUGACGAAGACUCUUAUUGGUUGUGAAUUUGAAAGUAAGCUAAGUGUAACAGCAAUAUACGCUUGAUGUUCCUCAUGAGUGUGCUUGGAUUGGCAUCUAUCACGUGGACAAAACAUCGAGUUAGCUUGGGAACAAAGAUAAGCUAGUUUAACCAUGCAAAAGGAAGAGACAAUUCAUGAGUUCAUUUCUUUCCUCCACUUUUUGAUCCAUAAAAUAAGGUAGUGUACAUCAUACAAAUCUAGAGGACCUGAAAUUUAAAGUUGGAGGAGCAGAAAUCUUAAAUGCGGAAAAUGGCAGAUAAGAAACGUUGGUGGGAGAACUUUGGCUGUUGCUUCUGUUGAUCUAGCUUGAAACAAGUGCUAGAUGAGUAAUCUUCGAGAUGGUAAGACUUAUCUUGUUGUCUUUUACUUGAUGCAAUGCUGGAGCACUGAGGACUGUUGAUGUACCUAAUUUGGUGCUUUCAUUUUACAUGCUUUUCAUCCAAAGCCACACAAGUUGGUACCGUGAAAGUGGUGUUGCAGAUCUGAUAUGGGGUAUGACAAGGAAACAUUGAAAUGCCAGUACAUAAAUUCCACAUAAUUGCUUCUAACAGUGUCAUCUACUGUAGCAGAUUCAGGAAGAUUUGGCAACAAAAAGAGGUCAUUUGAUGAUGCUAUUUGUGUUGGCAUCACCACUUUCCUCAGCCUCGGCUCAACUGUGUUGUUUUAAAGGAGCAUAAGAACAGCAUAGCAUCAUGGUUUCUUUUAGUGGGGAUCUGAUGAUCUUAUCCAACUUGUGAUUUGACCUCUCCUGCAUCCACUUCAGAUGAAGACUUAGAUUGGAUGAUUGAUGGCAGUGCUUCAGGUCAAGCAUUCCCACACAUGUAUUUUACUACUUACAUAAAAACUAAAGAUUUGGCUUUGUGAAUAUGGCAAGAAGACUGAUAUAUAGAGACAAUUUAACUCAUAGGUCACUAUCUAUAGAAGUGGAGGACUGAAAAAUAAGCCUCUUACAUGCACUUGAGUUCUUUUGUGUAAAGUUUUAUUCUUGUGCCAAAAAUUUAGAGAAUUAAGCUUGAUGAUAAGUCAAGAUCAUGUACUUCUUGGGAUGUAGAAGUCGAUACUUUUACCUAAAUAAAUUUUCUCAUGAAUUUAAGGAAGGGAAUGUUGUUGACAAUUGGUCGGCCUUUUUAUCUUGUGCCAUCAAAUCUUUUCAAUUUUAGAUUGGAGCAUGACCUUCUGAACUUGAUUUUUCUGGUUUGCUUGGAUACCAACGAUCUUGUGGAUCUGUCUUAGUUCUAGUUAGCAAAGUUUUCUUCUUCUUUUUUUUUGUUGCUUUGGAAAAAGAAGAAAUAGAGCUGGUCAAAAGGUGAGAUGUUAUCUCUUUGAAGGCCAAACCAUUUAGGAUUUUUCAAAGGGGUGGAGGAAUCUACUACAAGUGUAUGUGAUCUUAGUGAUCUUAGACCAAUUCCUUUUUAGGUGGUUUCAUGGUGGAAGGGGAUGUGGAACAAGAUGAAUAUGAUAUGUGCGGCCAACAAGAUCCUUCUCCUGAAAAGCUGAUAAAAAUUUGGAUUGGGUAAUUAAUAAUUCCAACAUCUUAAGAAGAUUAUACCAGUUCAGGUUUGACAUGUAAAUUAAACUCAAGUGUAUGGUCUCAGCCCAGAUGAAGAACGAGUACUAUGUAAAUAUUCUUAAUUAAACACCAUAAGAGAGAGACAAAUACAUCAUGUUCUACUCUGAUUCAAUGAUACAAAUUUUGACUGUAUGAUCAAUAAUGCCAAAAGCUUAAACUAUUAGAAAUAGGCUCAAUAUAUUUAUAAGUUUUGAUACGAGAGAAAAAAAAACCCUCAAGAAUUAAAGUAUUUAUGCUAGAAAAUGAGAGUGCAAAUUAAGCCGAGCACAAAGCACAACUAUAGGCUUUGAAGUUUGAAGAGCAAAAAGAAGGUAACUUUGAUGUCUCUUUAGUUCAUUCGAUUAUCGUAAUCUUUCUUUCUGUACAUUUGCAAUCUAAAUUGAACAAAAAAGAGAAAAAAAAAACAAUUUUGCUUGGUACUGAUUUUUAGGAGGAGAUUUGCAUGAAGCGACCUCAAAGUUUUUUAUUAUCAUCAAAUGUAAAAAUAGCUCAUGGCAUGCAAACACGAGAAGACAUUUUUAUGAUUCAAAGCAAGUUGCUUGAUGAUGGUAUGGGAAGUUUAAUCUUUUCUCAUUAUGAUUCUAUUUUUCUAUGUCGAUGAUAUGCUUCUAGCCUGUGAGAUACAAGUAGACUUGACAAGUUGAUGAAAGAAUUAAAUGCCUUGUUUGACAUGAUAGAUUUAGAAUCGACAAAAGAAUAUUUUUUAGCGUGAAAAUCAAAUGUGAUUGGGGCAUGAAACAUAUCGAAAAGAUAUUUAAAAGAUUCAAAAUUGAAAAACGGUAAAUCAAUAUUCUUGGUUUAGCUCAAAAUGGAAGAAAAUGAGAUUUAAAAAGAUUUUCUAUUGUGAAGGAGUAUAAUAUAUAUUUUUCAGAAAAGAUAAACUUCUAUGUGUGUGUGUGUGUGUGUGUGUAUACCUUAGCUAAACAUUGAGAUCAUUAGAGAAUUCCUCUCUUCAAACUUGAUCAUUAGGAGUAGACUAAUCAAACUUGAUUAUUACAGGUGUAUAAUCAAACUUGAUUAUUACAGGUUUUAAAUGAAGUAGAAUAUAAUAUGAGAUGUAAUUUGAAUAAUAUUAGGAGUAGACCUAAUAAUAUAGUUAAGGUGAAUAUAAAAAUUCUAGGUAUCUUAAAUUAGUUAUGUAAUAAGGUGAAGAAAUUGAUAGAGAUAUUACUCAUAUAGUAAAAUUUUACGUAUUAAAAUGGAUAGGUAUUUCAUGAGUUUUGCAUGAUCAAUAAAUACCAUUCACAUUAAAAAAACCAUUCUAUAGGAAUGUUGUUAGACUUAUCAUUUUCUAUGGAUCUCAUCAUUAGAUAAUUAAGAAAUAAUAUAUAUAAAUUUUGUAUCAUUGAAAUGAGAAUAUUGAGAUGAUUGUCUAGAGUUAUUAGGAAAAAUAUAAAAAAAAAAUUCAAUUAUUACUAUUAUUAAUACGAGACAUAAAACUAUUACUAUUAUUAAUACGAGAAAAAGACAGAGGUAUAAGAAGACUAUAGUAAAUCCUAUAAAUAAAAAUUUAAAUAUUCUUAAUUUAAUAUCCAUGUGCUAGACUUCAAAUAAUUUGAACAUUAGGAGGCUCCUUUUAUAUUUUUAGAUGAAACAAUCAACCAAAAUUAUAAAAAGAAUAGGCAUAUUUAUAAAGAAAUGAACCUCCACCAAAAAAAGGAAAGAAAAGGACUUUAAGCAAGAUGGAUUUAUAUUAUUGUGGAGUGUCAACAUAUACUUGUUGUUGAUUGUUAUCACCAGAUUAAGAAUGAAUUCAUAGAAGCAAAGCAUUAUGUCCACUACUAAAGAAGCAAGAUGGAUUUUCUUAUACCCUUAGUCUCAUUUAUUAGUGAAAUUAAUAUGGUGUCCCAUGGCUUUUCCCUUUUAGAAUUUUCACAAAAAAUAUUGAUGCUUCUCCACUUGUUUAAGUGUUAAAUUACACCUUAUUGAUUAUUAUUCUAUAUUAAGUGGUGAAGAAUAGAGACCUCCUCCUUAAAGGAUAUCGGUGCCUUCAUUUCAACAAGUCUACCUCAAUCAAAGAAAUUGUGGUUGGAAGAGGUGGAAGAAUCAAGCAAUGAGAAGGCCAAGCACAUGAAAACGAUCCCACCAGCUUGCGAAAUGGAUUUAAAUGGUGACUUUGGUGAGUCACGAAGUCCAAAUUAUCUUUCGCAUCGUAAGUACAUCUCCUUUGACAACUACUAUGGAUUCCCUUUAUGGGUGGCCAUCACCAUUUGGAUCGUGAGGUAGCUUAGCUUUGAUGUGCACGAGACCACCACUUUGAUUGCUAGGGUGGCUUUGGUGUGCAAGAAAAAGGGAAAGGUAAAGAAGGAGCAUCAUCGUGAGAGUGAAAGCUACAAAGAGAUGGAGUUGCUUGAGAACCAUGGCAGGCUCACAGCAAAAAGCCUAUGGAUGUUGGAGGCCGUGAAAGCUUCGAAGUGACGAUACGUGCGGUUCCUAAUGGCUAAUUUGACGGCCUUGACUUGUUUUACUUGGGAUUUUUCCUUUUGUUGAUGCUUGGAAGCUCUGCAAGCCUUCCAUCAAUUUUCAAUCUCUUGAACUGAUACAACUCAUCCAACUCCUCAGGUUUUGACAAGUCUCCGUAAAAAUACAUCGUUGUUAACCAGAGAGGUUAAUACGUUGGGUUGGAUUCAUAUCAGCAGAAAGCUUAGUAGUGUGCUGCAGUCCACUCUCUUGCUAAGAGAACUUUGUAUUAUAUAUAUGGAGGCUUCUAUUGCCUCAAUCUAAACAGUUCAAUCUUAUUCUCAUCGAAUCGACACAGUGGCGGUAUGAAUCGAUACUCGUGUCUUCAAUGGGAGGGGUUUCACUAAAUUCUAUGUUUGAGGGAAACAAUAGGAUUGAUUCCACUGUUUAAUGUAAUGGCUCAGUAUCUAUCGGAUUUGGUGUUGUCUCACGCAGCAUAAAAGAGGCCAUGCAAACCGAAACUGAAGCCAUUUCUGAAGGUUCUCACAGCACUAUAAAGAAACAACUUCAACAUGUACGUACAUAUUUGCAAUCAGACUCUAUAAAUCGGAAAAUGGAUGCCAAUCCCAACAUAAUAAUAUAACAGUAAAUACGGUGUAUUAUUCCAAUUAUGCUCAUUCAAAUAAGAAAGGACAUAUAAUUAAGCAAAGGGAAAGGUCAAAGGAUCCGACCCGAACCAAAAAUAAGGCCCAAUACGGAGCCUCUUGAUGCCAAAUGCUUGGGGAGCGGACAAACCCACAGACGUCAGAGGUACGAUGAGCCCCUCCUUCCCCUUCUCGUCGCCCUCCUCCAUCAAGAGUCCCCCAUCCUCCACGCCGCCUGCAAGGCCGCUGCCCCCGCCGACUACUACGACCUCUGCGUGCAGUCGAUGGAGCAGGACGCGAUGAGCGACAUCGCCGACGUCAGCAGCCUCGACCUCAUCUCUGCCAACCUGACGCUGGUCGACGUCGCCCGCACUCUAUAUCUCGUGAGCACAUGGGUGAAAUAAAUACCUAAGUACAUUGUCUUAUGGUAAUUAAAUGUAGUCUUAUGUAAAUACAUAAUAAGUACAAAAAAUCUCUUUGUAGAUAUUUAUUUUUUGUAGAUUAAUUGCUGCUGAGAUUAUAGUAGUUUGCUUUUAGUAUCUAUGCAGAGAAGUUAAUUAUAAAGCAGUAAGGUUUAGCCGAAAAUGGAGAGAAUUUUUUAUGUCCAUGAGGAGCAUUGGGAAGAUAUACAUCAAUUGAAUAUGGUCAUCAUGAAAAUAUGAAUCUCUUAUUUGAUCAAACAUUGCCACCAAUUCAUGUAUUUAAUAGUGAUCAUAAAUAAUCAACCAUGUUCAAAGACAUUAAUUAUUGCAGCUCAUUUUGCAACGUUAUGAUUGACUCAACGCUAAUUAGGUUAUGAAAUAUUACUGGGUGGAGUCCGGUAGAAGGUGAAUGCUGACAUAGCAUCUCUAGCUGAGAAAGUAGUACUCCUCACAGUCGAUGAACUCACUCAAUUCAUCCAACUGCAGCGGCAGGUGGUGGCGGUGUGCAUCCACCGAAGACCCACCUCGGAAGAGCUCCUCGUGAUCAGCAAAGCCAUAGCCUUCGGCUUCAAACUCAUUUACAGUCGCAUUCCAGUUUAACGUGAAGUCAAAUGGCUGCCCGACGUUGAGCUCCGAUCCAUCAGCCGUCAAGUGCAGCACUGGGAGCGCAUCAGAUGCAAGCGCCGGUGAUGGGCUGGCGACGCCGGAAGAGCUCUCCAGUUUCUGGUUCAUCUUGGCAUUAAGAUCCUGAAUGGUGAGGGAUCUCUUGCUCAAGUGGGUAUUCCAGUGGUUCUUUAUCUCGUUAUCUGUUCGGCCUGGUAGUCUUCCAGCAAUUAGCGCCCAUCUGCGUACAACAGUGAAACAGCAGCUUUCUAUCAUACAUACAUCCUCCAUAGGUCAUCAAAAGACUUGGAGGUCUCGUUUGCUCAUGCAGUAAUGGCUGCUGCCAUAUUGUGUCAUGCUGUUUCACGGAAGAUGCGACACCCAAUUAACUUCUUAGACGUCGCAAUGAUAAUUUUUCUGUCUUCCAUUUCAUCUCUCCAGUUUACCUAUUAUGAGCCUCAACACUACAUUCACUGUUUAAUCCAUAUAUUUUGGAGCUUUUAGUAAGAUGGAGACAAAUUUUCAUUUACUAGGAUUUCCAAUCCAUUUCCUACUAUGCUUUGUCAUUUCUAAUUCUUUACGUAAGCACACACUCCCACACUGUUUAUGUAUCAAAGUUAUCACUGUGUUUAGCAACCUGAGAAGGGACAAAGAAUGUCGAGUGACUUGGCAUGAAUGAUUUAUAAAUAUGAAUGCUGCUUCUUUUUCAUUUUCCCCAAAGAAAAGUCAGAACACAUAAAAGGAAUAAACAACAAUAUGUCUUUGGGGUAUAAUGCCAUAGCAGCGGAGCAAGUAAUCUAGUGAUGAAGCAUAGGAAAGACGUGUAAUAGGAGUGGAUGCAGUGAUAUUACCUGUUGCCGAGUAGGUUGUGCAAUCUAAUUAUGAGGUCCUCUUCCUCUUCAGACAUGUUGCCUCUCUUGAUUCCUGGCCUUAGAUAGUUCAGCCAUCUUAGUCUACAACUCUUUCCGCACCUAUCUAACCCUAAUAACCAGAUCAGAAAACAUAUCAUAACACAUGUCAUCCAAUAUCUGAACUCACUUUUUAUUAGUGUCACCAAAAUUGAUUAAAUGCUCAUGUUUAGAAUUCACAUGUAAUCAUGAAAACAAUAAGUUUAAUUAAUAUUAGUCGACCAAAAAGAAUGACCUCUAAUAACGAAGAAAAGAAAUAAGUCAUGCAUGCAGUGAUAGUUGUCUUUUGCCUUCAAAAAAAAAUAUGUAAAAUGCUUUUGUUCACAAUGAUUCGAGCUUCACAUAGCUCUCUCGGUGAAGCUCUUAACAGCGACAGCAUAUCUGAUUUCUGAUCUUUUCUUCCCAGUGAAAUCGAAACAAGAACACCCAUGAGUAGCAUUGUUUUUAUCAGUAGCAGAUCAAGAGCAAGUUUGCUGAUCUUCUACGUUGAAGAAGUAACAGUAAAAGAGUGGAAAGGAGGAGAAGUGAUGGGUGUCCGUGAUAUGGAGAAUGAGGACAGGAUUAGAUUUUGUUGUAGCUAGAGAACUUUCUUUUCUGGAAGUCAUGUGUUCCUGGGCACAAAAACUUAGAACCAUUCAAAGCCACAGCAGCGGCAGCGGUAAAUUGAAUGCUCGAGAAAACCAUCUUUUUCCUGAGGUAAAGUUGGUACGGGCUCAUGCAUGUCAUGAUGUGAUCUUGGAGUGAGAAGAAAAGGUGACGGGAACAGACCAGCUUUGGCCGCUAGGGUUCUCCACUUCUUGUCACCAUGGGCAGUCACGUACUCCACCAGCUUCCGGUCCUCCUCAGCACUCCAUGCGCCUCUCUUCCACGCCAUGACACUCUUCUUCUUCUUCCCCUCGUUCUCCCUCUUCUUCACCAUCUCUAUUCUUUCCUUUCUUCCCACGUCUCUUACGAUGCGGCACAUCCCACCAUAAAUAGACACCAAUAACUCCAUCGCCAGUGCCUGCUGUCGGGGUCCUCGAUAGGAAUGAAUCGAGAGCUAUAAGACGUACAAUCUAGUAUAGAAAUCUACAACAUCACUCCUCCAUGCAAAUCAUUUGAUGAGAUUUAGUUAUCCAUCCUAUCAAAGAGCUGUAUCUUCAACCGGCGUUCACAUAAACCUGAUCGAUGCAUGCAUGCCGUUGCUUCCUAGAUGAGUGAGAUGGAUUCUUUUGGGUUUCGAAUCAUGCGCCUCAUAUAAGUAUUGAUAAUUAGCAAAUCAAAGCCCUCCAUCUCUGUACUUGACCAUUUAUUCUCCCCCCUGUUGGAUCAUUACUCGAACUGGCUCCCUCUCUGUCGUCAACUUGUAGCCCCCUGCCAUUGCGGUACAGAUGCCAGCCAUCGAAUCGUCCUUGCUUGCAUUUUCUAUCCCUUUCUUUCUCGUUUCCUCUCUAUCCUUCUUUCGUCUCUUAUCACAGAAGCCAUUUGAAUCCAAAUUCCCGAUCUCGAGUCUUAGCUUCCUCCUGUAAGUGAAGAUUGGGAGCAGUCAUGACGAAGAAUCGAGUUACCGACAGCUACAAGAUCAUAAUUAAGUGCGAUCUUUGAAGUUAUGCUUAGUUUUUUGCUGAUCCAAUUCAAUAUUACUAAACAUAUAGCUUACUCGCUAUUUGAUUCAUUACUAGCCAUCAAUACUAUCAUUCUUUUCUACAGUAGGUAUCCUUACUUCAUUUCCAUUAUUUCUAGCAUUUUAACGACCAAAUAAAAUAAUUCUUGAUGUUUAUUUUCUCUAACCCAUUUCUUCUGAUUGAUAUUGAGUAGAUUAUAAUAUUCUUUAUAUAUAUAUAGAAUUAGUUAGCUAUGUUCUUUAAUGGGCUCUAAGCCAGAAAGUUAUUCGAUUAAGUCUUGAAAAGUUUUGAAUCCAAUUAAGUCUCUCGUCCAUCUCUUUUUGACAGAAAGGAGUUCUAACACUACUUUGAUUGCAAGUUUAAUGGUUACUUCAUCCUUAUUAAUUUUUUGUAUAUUAUAAUAUGACAUGAGAUUGUACAGUAUAUACUUCUAUACUACAAUGCAAAUCUUGAUUGACUUAAAAAUUAUUUUCCUCGAUUUUAAAUCCACUAUAGAAUUUUUUUUUAAAUAAUUAAAAAAAAAUUACAUCAUAAUACGAAACACUCAUACGUAAACUUGAACUUGAGAUAUUAAUAGUGUAAUAAUACACUAAUCACAAAAAUGUCUAGAGCAAGAUAAGAUAGAGUGAGACAAAGAUAGGUAUUCUCUUAAGGAUCUUUGAGGGAAUUUGUGAACGGAAUGAUAGUUAAUUUCUUCAUCCACUUUCAACAAUAUUUUGUAUCAAGACAACAUAAAAUGUCAAGUUGAACCAAAUUGAAAUUUGGUUUUUGCAACUAAAAAAGAAAUUUCGAUGCUUCAAAUUGAUUAAAUAUCACAAGAAAGAUGAAAUUGAUGGUAAUUUAGUUAUUUUAAUUAAAUAGCACAAGAAUUAAUUGACAACAAUAAUAUGUCAUAACCAAAAUUUGAUACUCUAAUAAAAAUUACUAAAAUAUAUGUAACUCAUAUGGUAAUUUAGUUAUUUUUUAUUCGAAAGUUUAUGGGUUCAAUUACAAUGCCGAUCCAUUCAAGUUAUUUUCUUAUUAUUAUCGACUAAUCUCUAUCAUUAAAUUAAUAUAUAUAUUUUUUUAUUAGUAUAUCAAUAUCUAUUUCAAGCAUAUUUAAAAAAAUAAAAAAUAUCAUUUUACCCAUAUCGACCACUAUCGUCCUCGUCGAUCAUCCCCUUCGUCCUAAAUAGCCGUUCGUAAUCUUUGUCAUCGUCGCCUAUAGACCUAUCCCCUCUCCUAGUUGUUAGUUACAAGAGAAGAAGGAAGAGAAUGCACCAUCGAUUAUGAGUAAGAAAAAAGAGGGGUCAGUUGUGUGCCCUCGCUGUUGGUUGGGGUGAGGCCUUUACCGUCACCCGAAAGCCCUCCUCACGUCGUCGAUCAUGAGAGAGGAAGGAGAAGGAGGCGACCCACGUGCCAUCGUCAUCGACCGUAUGGGAGGAAGGAGGAGGGGAUCACAUGCUUUCACUAUUAUUUCCUCGUGCAAGGGUCACGAGAAAAAUAUGUAGCAACUGGAUCGAUAGGAUUAGUAAAGGCGGAGAUGACGAUAGAUCCAAUAAAAGAAACAAAAUAAUCUUUUCACGUAGUCUCAUGUGUUGUUUCGAAAAUUUUCAAAGACACUCUAUGAAAAAUUUUAAAAAGUAAAAAACUUUUUUCAAAAAUUCACCAUAUUUUUAAUUUUAAAAUAUUAAACAUAUGAUUUGAUCAAUUAACUUUUCAAUUCAACCAAUAAUUUGAUGAUUGAGACUCAAUCGGGUUGAUGUUCGAUUCGUUUUUGAUGAUUAUGGCCAUAAUACCAGCAAUGACUGUCAAUCGAUCUCUCUAAUAAAUUAUACUUCUAGUUAAUUAUGUUUUACGACAAUGACUUCACGAUCGAGAUUAGAACUUCCGAUGUGCAUCAUAACACACAGUGAUGGAAUAACUUCUUCCUCGAGUCUCAUCUAACGCGACCCCUCCAUGUCUGCCCUUUUCUUCCAUCUUUGAACCCAUACCCUUACCACGAACUCUUCUCGACCCGUCACCUAAUAACAUAAGAUGUGAUCGUGGAGUACUGUAACUCGCUUUUCCUUAUUUUAGGUCCACAAUUCCGCGAGAGAAAGCAUCGCUUCAGCGCGCCCAAAGGUACCACCUGCGACCCAUCUUUUCUUCUUGCGAGAGAUCGGCUCUUGAUUCCUUCCCCUCUCCUAAUUCUUUCCUUUUGUGUGGAUUCUUUUGCGUGAUCGGUUUCGGGGGGUUGUUCUCUCGUCGCAUCUCAACGCUUGAAAUCGGUGAUUUGGUGCUUUGGUUUUUAGUUGUGUUCUUGAUUUGGGCAUAUUAUUUUUAGGGUUUUGGAGCAACAAUCGUGCGAACCGUAAUAGUUACUUGGUGAUAUCAAUAUUGUGUUAUUCUUUUUUGGCGCACGAUUCGAUUGAUCGGAGGUGGUGAUUUCUUUUUCUAGGUUAGUUUAAUUUACGGACUGCCUGAUCUUUUCUGCACAAAUGAAACAUGAUUCUGAUUGUUGAGUCUAACCUUGUCGAACGAAUGCAGUUCUUUUGUCUUCUUGGCUUGAGAUUUUUGUUAUGUGAUCCUUUCCUUUUCGUUCAAAUAGCGUGUAAGAAAAGUUAUGUUCUCUUAGUCUAUUCACAUCCUACUGUCUGUAGCUUUGUGAUGAAAUAGUUUAUAUGACUUGAACAGUUUGAUUAUAUGAACAUACUAACUGUUACAAUUCCAUUUAAACUAUAUUUGCAUGUUGGCUAUAACUUGCUAGUUUACUUUAUGCCUUUGAGCUUGUUAAGGCAUUACCCUUGUUGUUGGUUCGUACACCAUAAUUAUCCAUAAAGGAACUGAUAAAACAAACAAAAAUUGAAAAAAAUGUUUUGUUUAUUGUUGGAUAAAGGAUAUGCUUACUUAUGCAUUGAUCUUAUGUAGCCAGCUGCUAUUAGGCUUGCAUUGUACUUUCCAAGUUUAAGCUUUGUUGUUUUAUCCAAAAAGGAUAAGUUUCUGUGAAAAAAAAUGUUUUGAGAUUCAGAAUUUUGGAAAUAUUGUCAUAGACUAAAGAUCUUGACUGGAACCAAAGAUUGGUCACAGAUCUCAGAAAGAAAAUUCUCACUCAUGCAAUAUCUUAUAUUUCUUUUGCGUCAUUGAAAAAGUGAUUUCUUAAUCUCAUGUGUUUAGUUGGCAUAACCGUAGGUCCAAGUGCUCGAAAACAAGCUUUAUAAGUAUCCUUAUAGAACAUUCUCGCAAUAAUUAUAAAUCAGUCAUCAUAUUUGAGUAGUCAAGAUACCACAUAAAAACAUAUGUUGUGUAUGCAGCUGCAUGUUAAAAUAUACGGAAUAACAUACAUUAAUUACAAACAAAAAACGUACAAUCGACUUUAAGUAAUUAAUAGGUAGAUAUAUGCUACAAACGAAGAAAUGUAGAUUAAUAUUUAUACUCAUUUAAAACAUGUUUGAUUGACAAUAAGAGUUAGCUAUUAGUUCUUAGUUAUUAAUAUUUAUACUCAUUUAUUUAGAUGACAAUGAGAAUUCGCUAUAGGUGUUAGUGAUCAAUGUUAGAUCAUCAUAACAUGUACCAUGCUACUAAAAUGGUAACAAUUAUAUAAAUAAAAUGGUAAUAAUUAGGAAUCAUGAAUCAUUUUCUUAACCCUGUUUACAUGCUUUUGUAGGCUGCAUGUGCAACUGUAUGCCAAUUACAUGUUUAAAGUUAAGAAAUGCACUGAUAGCACCUCUACUGGAUAUGCAGCCACAAAAGUGCAUGUGAAGUUUUGUGUGACUACAUAAUCAGUAUAAUCACAUAUUGAGACUGCAAGUUCAGUAACACCAUAUUUAAGUCCAUGUAGGCGUUACUCGAGGUGGUCAGAUAACAACACCCGCAGGCACAGCUUCAUAUGCUUUGAAAUAGUACUUUCUUGUAUGAAUUUGCCCUUGCCAGCAAUUUAACUGUGUUUAGAGUCCACCUACAUUGAUUGGCUAUAAUUUGUUCUCCUCUGAUGGGUCAACUUUGUUAAUUUUAAUCAAUCGUAUAGAGAUUUUGCUUCCUAUUAACUUUAUAUGUAAACAUAAACAGGGAACAUAGCAAGACACUUCGAUUCAGGUAUAAUAUUUACUAUACAUAUAAGCAGACAUAUAGGAUCUAGUUGUGAAGUAUGCAAUAAGGCAAACGUGUUUGCUAGUUUGGCCUUGCAAUUUAUAGUUUAUGAGUUUGGUUGUGAAGCAGCUUGUAACCAUCUCAAAAUGUUUUUGUAAUGGGGAUCAGGAACAUGUGCACAUGGAAAGGUGUUUAACUUGAAGCAGGAGAUGAAGUAGAGGGUUUUCAUGUAAUACCAAUGUGGUUAGUUUGGAUUUGUUUAGUCAGUCAUUAGGCCACUUCCAAAUUUACAAUAAGUUUUAUGAGGUGAUGUAUAGGUAUUUUCUUAUGGCAUGUUUUAUUUCUAAAAUUAUAUAUGGGUUUGACUAUAGUUAUAGGAGGCAUGUAAUUUUGCUAAAAUUUAUUUAUAGUUUAUCGCUUGAGGCUUCCUUGACCUGUUGCUACAAUCAAUGUACAACUCACUACCAAGGAUCUUCCAGGAAUUGACAAGUGGUAAUCACUUUUUCUUGUCAGUCACUCAAACAAAUUUUAUGAUUUUCUUUCCAGGGAGAUACAAAACAGCUACAACUUCAUUAUUAAGAUGUGGCAUAGAUGAAGCAUAGUUGUAUAUGCACAUUCUUCGAAAUUCUUUUACUGCCCACAACGAGUAGUGAAACUUACUGAUGUUAGAACCUAGAGGUUCUCACCGACCGACAAUCAUUUAUAGACCGAUACAACCUUCAGAUCUUGAAGUUCUUGAGCAGAUUCAUCUUGCUUUAUUUCCUAUAAGGUAUCCCAUUUAAUUGUGGUAUUUAUAUGUAAAAAAGUUUGAUUCGUCAAAAGCACUCCAAAGAAAUUUUAUCAUCGUAUGCCAUGAAUAAUGGGACAGUUUUUGUCAAUGUUUAUAGGUAUGAAAGAGAUUUCUUCCUCAAUGUUGUGCAUGGCCAUGGAAUAGUAUCGUGGGCUGCUGUCGAUGGACAAAAUGAUGAACUUGUUGGAUUUAUCACUACACGUCUUAUCUCAGCGAGAGAAAGCGAGGUGUCUGACACUCUAUAAUCUAUUUUCAUCCUUUUAACUCAUGUUCCUUGCAAUUGAUCAUUUACUGUUCUACUUUGCUCAUGCAGAUUGCAGAUUUGCUUAGGCAUAGAUCUUCAAGGAAAGAACUAAUGCUAGUCUAUAUCUUGACGCUAGGUGUUGUAGAGCAUUAUAGAAACUAUGGGAUAGGUUGUGACCUUGUCUAAGUUCCUUGAUUGCUUUUUAUAUACUGAACAUUUUCUGCUCAUCUCAUUAUGGCAUUUGCAGCUACUUCACUUGUUCGUGAGGUAAUCAAAUAUGCUUCAAGCAUCACAAACUGUAGAGCAGUGUAUUUGCAUGUCAUUUCUUACAACCUGCCAGCCAUAAAGUUCUACAGGAAGAUGUUAUUUAAGUUUAUAAGACGGUUGCAAAACUUCUACUACAUCAACGGCCAGCAUUAUGAUUCAUAUUUGUUUGUUUACUUUGUGAAUGGCAGCCAUUCUCCCUGCUCCCCAUUGUAAGUAUUUUACUUUUAAAAUGAACAACAGCACACUACUAUUUUAUUAUCUCAAUUUUUUUUCAUAUUUAUUAUUUUUAACAAGUUACCUUGUUAGUGCAAAUGCAUGAACAUAUCUCUUUAUUAUCAUUUUUUUUUAACAAGUUAACUUGUUAGUCCAAAUGCAUGAAAUGCCAAAGUAAAGCUAUCACUGAAGUUUCUGGAUGUGUUUCAGAAAGAGCUGAGAAAUAUAGCAUUGUUACUUUGUCUCUUUCAACAACUCGGAUCUCUAGCAAUGAUAAUGUAGCUUAAGAAACAAGGAAUCUAAUAGAAGGGUCUUAGAUGUUUGUUCUGAAGUGAUAAAGCUCAUUCUCUGAUAGAAGGUCCAUUACAAUUUUCUCAUAUUAAAUUUGUAUUUGUUAUUUCACACUUCAUGUAUCUGUGGUGUUAAAUAAUAUUUUCAGCGUUUCUUGCCAUUCAGAAUGAUGUGUAAAUGGAGUCACCAACAAAUGAUUAGAACACCACUUGACUUGGACCCCAUCUAUUUUUUAUUUUUCUCUCUUCACACAAUUUCCAAUAGUAUGAAUUCUUUCUUUUCUGACACUUCACACAACUUUUCAAAUAAGUUGGCUGGUAGAAAAUUUUUAGGAACUGAGAAUUGUUCGAUUUAAGUCAUUUUAAGUGAUAGAAGUUGAACUUAUUUUAUAUAUAAUAAAGGACUGUUUGAUCCCCGAAAUAUUUGUCUACAUACUUAUACAUUUACAUUUAUUGUGUAUACUACUUUUUUAUGGACUUGGAGAGACGAGGUACUACUUGGGAAGCCUUUAUGUUGGUCAAUUCAUGACUUACUAGGCCAACUUUUCCUAUUUGUAAUAAAUUUCACUUGAGUUGUUGAAAGCUUCUAAAAGUUUUGAGUUAAUUAUAAUUUCCUAUACAUAUUUUUCACUUCUCUUCUUAAAUAAUGAAUGUAGGCAUUUAAAACUUUAGAAAAUGAACAAAGAACAAGCUCUGGUUGUGUUUUGUUAUUUAAACUUCCUUUUACUAACAUCUAUAGCACUUUGAACUUGUAGUUAUUGGCACUAAUUUUUAUAAGGUCAUAACAUAAAAUUUCAUAAAUUUAGGAACUGGGUAUGGACACAGUGAUGGUAGUGGAUAUGGGAGUCGGCAUAUACUCCCACUGGUCCACAUACCAUUGCGUGGAGGACACCUUGGACCAACAUAAUCAUCCAAGCCUUGCAAAGUUCUUUGGAGGAUGUUUUGGCUCUUGUAUUUGCAUUAAGUGCUAUCACACUAAUUGUAUGAACUCCCCAACAGCCCAAGGACUUAUCGGAGUUAUGAGAGACGUUUUUCAACAACACUAGCAACUUUAAGUUGUUGCAAGCAGACAUACCAACCAACGUUUAACAUUUUGUCUAGACUAAUGUGUACGGGGUGGGACAUACUUGUCCAGGCUUGAAAUGGAAUGCAGACUACUGAAUUUCAAAUGUGUCACAUCCACUUGCGAUAUAAGGCUUACUACCUCAUAAACCUUGUGAACUGACAGUACCUCUUGUGAUGUAAAACAAGGUACAUUCCAUAGACCAUUGAUAAUGAAAUCGGGUUUGGGUUUAAUUAAUAUUUUAGGAUUGCAACAUCUUGCACAAUUAGAAUAUUGCAAGAAUCAUCAUCUUGACAAUAAAGUUGGAGGAAAUAAAUAAAAGAGAAUAUUGUAAGAAUUAUCAUCUUGCAAGAAAGGAAGAGCAUCAUGCACAAAGAAGAAAGAUUAUUUUACAGAAUUAUCAUCUUACAAGAAAUGAAGAGUAUUAUGCACAAAGAAUGAAGGUUAUUUUAUAAUAAUAUUCUAGAAGCUUAUCUUCUCAAAAGAUGAUAAGAUACAAUGUAUUGAAUCAUCUUGAUGCAAAUUUUAUUUUGUCUUUUUAAUUACUUCCUUCUCUUCUUGUAUUUGUGGCUUAUAUAAAAGAGGUCAAAAAUUGUAAUGAGAUUAUCAGUCUUGGAAUGAAUAAUAGUUUUGUAACCCACAAAAUAUGAGUGGUGCGAAGCUAUAGCUUUCCCCCCGAUAUGAGUCGGCAAACUUGAAGCGAGUCCAAGAUAAAAACUAUUAUUCACAUAGUGGGCUCCGAAGGCUGGUGCAGGCCUAGUGACCACCUAUCACUUUUGGUGAACAGAAAGUGAACUUGCUAAAGAUAUUGUAUCACCCCUAAGAUAUGUAACUAAAGUCCUAUCUUAAGGUAUGCUGCCUAGGGGUUUCAAAGGGGCUGUGAUGGCUGACAUUUUGCAUCAUGCCAUUGAGAAUAAAUUCCACUGCACAUGCACUAUUUUGGCUCCAUGUGAAGACCGCUCAAUAUGCUCUGCAAGCUUAGGCUUUCAGGCUGAACUAAAGCAAAUAUGAUGCAAAAACGAAGCAAAUGAGGAUACGGAGGCUACUUGAAGUCCCUUGCAAGCUGCCUAAUGCGAGAAGAAACUAAAAAUAGUGACAACAUACUGGCCUCUCAAAAUAUCUCUUAUAUGAUGGUAAAAUAGAUAUGCUAAUUAUAUUCUUUAAAGACCAUUGAGAUGAUAGAAAAGGAAAACAAAUUAAAUAUUUUGCAUCUUGCGUUUGAUUGUAAUUCUAAAUUGAACUAUAGCUAGCUUUCUUAGAGGUUGAAAUUGGUUUGACAUAAUCAAUUGCAGAGUUUUUAUCUUUCACAUGUUGCAAUCAGGGAAAUUGAAGGAAGAAAGGUGCUUCUUAGGAAAUGUCCUGGUAGAGUUCUAAUAUAAUAAACUUCCAGAAGAAAGCUUCUUUUUUAGUACACAUCUUAUCAUAAUGCUUGAAAUUUUUUUCUUUUUUCCAAGAAAAUGUUGGAUAUUUAGAGACUGAUUAGAAUGUGAAAUACCAGAUAUUUUACUUUGGUGCAUGUAUUUUAAGAUCUCUAUUUUUUCAUAUUCCAUCGAUGAUAUACCCAUUGUCUUCAUAACGUAGGAACAUUGUCGCAGCAGUGGCAAAUUACCUUAGGGGCCUUCUCAAAAUGCUGGCUUCCAAGCUAUGGAGGAACGAGGAAACACAUAUUCCUGUAUGGUCCAAAUGUAGCGAAACAAAGACCCUUUUAGUGACUCCAAACAAGAGGAUCCUUGGUGCAGAGAAUUCUGCAUGUCGAGUCUGUACUUCACAACUUACGUAACUGCACAUCUGAGUAAGAUUCAUGUUUCAUAGUCAUUCACACCGUUGUAAUAUCUUUUCUUUAAAAAUUUCAGCAAACUAUAUUAAUUUUUUUGUCACCAAAUUUCUUUGUUUACAUUUAAGAAUAGCCUUCCUCAUUGAAGCUUUCCUAGUGGAUUAGAUGUGAGAUUGUGUUGAAAUGUUUUUGGAAGCAAGUUGUGCUAUGCUAUUAUUAAUAAUUGUGGUCUAUAAUACUUGUCAAAAUAAAUGACCAUUCCUCUAGAAUUUGGAGGGGCAAUCAAUCUUUGGAAUAGUCUUGGUUGUGUUGGCUGAGUUCUAGAUAUUAAUAUGUUCGCCACAUAAUUGUGGUCUUUUAUCAAUGUUAUUGAUAAUAUCAUCAAUAAUUGUGGCUAGUGAUGCUAUAGCUAUAGCUAGCUAAUCACACGGUUUUGCAAAAAUUUUCAGUAUGUAUCAAAUAUGUCCAUUUAGUUCGCUUUGGUGUGGUCGCAUCGGCUCUUCUUUAAGACGUUUGAAACCAGAUGUUGCAACUAACAUAGUUGAUAUAAUUAUGAAACAUUGUAGUAGCUCACGACAUUCUUUUAUUGUGGAUUCACCUGACCUAUGUGAUGGAAGAUUAUGGAUGUUGAUUUUGAUUUGUCCAAUAAACCUUUCAUAAUUAAAGUUCCAUGUAGGAUGGGAAUCAUUUAUAUUACUUGCAUCAGGUGUUGUGAGUGGCCUUUUAAGUUAAUAAUACCAAGCGACUAAAGACGUUCCAUGCUCCAAAUAUGUUCUGAAUAUAAUUCGGAUUUUAGAAAGAAAAAAAUUCUUUUUUUCUUAACAAAAAUGACAUGCUAUGCCAUAAGUACCUGCCUGCAGAAUAACAAAACUCCAGUAAUGGAAGGAGAAACACGUGCAACUCUGGGAGUAUAAACAAAGAAUUCGGUGUCAAAAAUAAACAAACAAAACACUUUGGAGCAUUCAAAGCGCACAAAUACAAUCAAAGAUACACACUCGUGUUGAUGGAAAAUAAAUACACUCGGCGCCAAGUUGACUUCAGUUACGAAGUCGACAAUGACUAAUUUUACAAGUAUAUAUUCUGCAAGAAAUCGAUGAACAUGUGCUUACAACUUAUUGAGAUGUUCGUACUGGAUGGAUCUUUAUGAUUUGAGUAGCUGGCCGUUGAUGAUGCAUACAUAUGAACUCAAUACAGCACCACUAAAGGAUUCUAUCUUGCAGAUCAUUGAUAAGACUGGAAGCUAAAGUCGUCAAUUUCUUUCCAGUUUCUCCAGCUAUGUCCUUGAGGGAGGGCAUAUCCUGUGAUGCCUAGAAAUGCAAAGUUGCACUUUUGGUAAAAACAAGCUUUCUAAAUAAGCAGAAGAGUUCCUACAACAAUAUCUAACACCAAACUGAGACCCAAAAGAUUAAGGCGUUUCGGGAUUUUGUGCUUAUAUAAAGUGUUAAAGUUGGAACCUAGGUCAACAGCAAUCCGACAAAAGGCACCUGGAAAGAGAUCCGGUUGAUGAGAUCUGCAGCAGUCAGGUCCAGCCCAGAAUCUCCUACAUCAUGACCAAACAGAUCGGCACUUGAAAUGGCUUUUGACCCCUACAUAAACGAUGACAAGAUUAUGAGCAUCUUAAAACACGUUAGGAUUGCCUGCCAGGGUUUUAAGCAUAGCCACAUUUGAUAGGGUUAAAAAGGAUCAUCUAAAUCCAGGAUGGACUUUGUCCUCUGAGACUACUAUUGGCAACAGAAUAUUUCCAGAUCAUCAGACAAUCCUAAUUAACUCCAUAAAUUUGGAGUUUUUUCCUCUCGGGGAUUGGGCCACACUCAUGACGUCACUGGGCAUGCAUCAUGUCUGCAGACUUUCGGGAUGGAUAUACAAGUUUUCUGCUAGCAAUUGCUCAUGAACCUACUCAAUCUUGACGAUAUUACAGCAACUGAACAUACCGUGAACUUCUGAAGGGACAUAUGAGCCUCAUUGUCAGUUGCUUUGUCUGGGUUACCAAAGAAUUGAGUUGAAGAAAUUGACUUCGCAUUUGAGAAUUUCUGCCUUGCUUCAUUACUUUCCUGAACCUGAGGACCAUAGCAAAAAUAGGAUGUAUAUUUCACAAUAAACCCAGUGCAUCUUUAAGAAGACCAACAACUGAUCGAAGUGGUUACAAGUGUGCGACUGUCAUAUAGCAACUUAAUGCUACAUGUCCAUGAUACAACUGGAUAUUGCUUUAGUCGAUUAUAAUUGGUGACAAUGUUCCGGAUCAUAUUCCACAAAAUAUUACUGCACAAACAAAUUUAGUUAAAAUGCUUAAAGUUACAAAGAUCUUUUAUCUAUCCUUCACUACCAACUUCUACAUAUGUUACGGAAAGCUCCACUGAUCCUUUUUAAAAAUAGUAAAAUUGGCAUGCUUACCAUUUUUUCCUCAUGAAAAGCAAAUAAUCCAAUUUGAUGUAGUUUCUUAGACAAAAUGGAGGGAGGGGGCAAAGAAAAAGCAUAGCUAACCAGAUCAAAACAUUCUUCACUUAUCACAAUUUUUAAUCUGUAAACCAAUACAGAUAUAUUAAAAUCCAAAUCCAUAUGGUUUACUUAUGCUUUUGCACUAGUAACAUAGUCUUAAAGUGCAUUUCACGAUUAAAAGCACUGCAAGUUCAUCCUCAAGAAUAUUUAAAUCACGGUUUAAGAUACUGGCUUGACCAAGCUCCAGGUAUUUUAUUUAGACCAUGCAGUUUGGUACACUCGGUAUACCACUUAUUUUUAUUAUUUUAUUUAUUUGAGCUUGGGCUAAGGGCAACAACACAACUAGUGAGGCUAUUACGGAGGCACAUCAUUGCUGGUUAAGAACAUCCUAAUAAACUAAAAGAACAUCAAUAACUCAGUAGUCAAAAUAUUGAAGAAAUUAUCUCGACUCAUUCAUCAAGUAUCAGAUAUCCGGAUUAUAUUUGUAGCACUGACAAAGGUUGAUAUUUUCAUACCUUGUUAAAUGAAUAGUAAGAUGAAUUAAAUGACCUUUGGACAAAGCAGGGUCUGCCGUACCGAGUCGUACCGCCCGGUACGGGCGGUACGUACCGGUCCGAUAGGUUUUCGGUACGCGGACCGACUGUUACCGGUCCGAGGCAUUGUAGCACUGUAGCAGUGCUACAGUACUCGGUACACCCAGGUGUACCGCUCGGUAUACCGUACCGUACCGGUACCGAGCCCAGGUCGAAAUAUCGGUACGGUAUGGUAUUGCAAACCUUGGGACAAAGUAAAAAACUAUUUCUCUUCCAGAUCUCCAGAGAGUCUAGAAACUAUGAAUAGUAAGAAGGGAUCAAUAAAAAUCACUUAGUCACUGAAUACAUCUUAACUAUCAAGCCCAAGAAAAUGAAUAACCGAACCAUAAGUACAACUGGAGAAGAUCCUCUCUAAUUUUGACUCCUUUCCCCAAAUUGCCAACUGUACCACCAUCCCUAGGACCUCCCAUGCCAACUCCUAUGUUGGUGAACCUCAAAUAAAUCAGAGCCUCUCCUAUCAGCUAAUCCCUCUCCGCCAGCCAAUGUGGAAAACAUCUCAAAGGAUUUACAAGCCACCAAGGGUAGAAUAAAAGGUGCACAGGGGCAUAUGGAAACAUGGUAUGCUCAACGGUACUGGUACAUAUCGGCUUGCUCAAUAACCACUAUUGAUAUUGGACCAACUGUUGAAACCUUAGACUGAACUACCAUGAUGAUAAUUAAUCUGAACAAUUCUACUUUUAAAAAUUUGUCCGACUUAAUGAGUUUAUAACAAGAAAAAGACACCUGGCAACCGAAUAUACUAACAAAAAAUUAUUUAGAGUAUUUUACCUGUACUUUUGAUGAACUGGAGCUUGACUUUUUCUGAAAGCCAUUGUCUAUUCCAUAUUCUGCAAAGAAGCUUGAAGAUUUUGGUGGUGCAAUAUGACUAAUCAACUGAGCGCCUCCAGAACUACUCUCCAUUGGAUUGGUCUCCACAUACUCAAACCGAGAAGGAUAAUAUGGACCACCUGGUGUCUUAGAGUUAGCCAAAGAUGUCACAGAAGGUGCUGGUUCUUCAGGCUUCUGGUCAUAGAGACUUUCAUUUGGCUGAAACCAAAAGUAUCCUAAGGUUAACAUGUUGACCUUUGCCAAGUAAGGACUACAAUCAGAAUAAUAAUUUAUCACAAGAUUGAAUAAAAAGCUUCAUUAGAGCAUACAUAGGAAGACAAACAGACAUGCAAACCACCUUCACCAAGGGGCGUGCGUCAGGAGAGUGACCUGAGAAAUUACAUAGAAACUCCUACAUCUUUUCAAUAUAUAAUAUGAAAGGGUAAGAGAGUGGCUUAUCAUUUAAGACAUCAAUAUCUGACUGAUAUAAUGUAGCAUCAAGUAUUCAGACUCUGUGACAUUCAAGAACUAUUUCAGUUCCUACUUUGCAGAAAACAGAAAUGAAACAAAAAUGCAGAAUUUCAAGUUACAAAUUUGGAUAGAAGAUGUCACGAUUAUGAAACUGGAGAUAUUUUAGGUUCAAUUUGUUAAAUCACUGCAUGGCAAAAGCCCACUCUACCAUCUUCUGUCUUAUUGACUCAUAAUUGUUACCUGCAUGAAAUAGGGUUCACGCAUAUACUAGCAUAAGCAUCCUUUGUAUUGGUAAGUUGUGAAUGUCAGAAGUUGAAACAGAAAUUUUGAAUAAAAAGCAAAGGACACCAAAAUCCAACUAUAUAUGUUUCGAUAAGUAUUAUUCCUAUAUUUAUGGAUCCAUCAAAACAUGAUAGUAAAAGAUUACCUUUGUUGUUAGCUUCCGUAUCCCAAGUCCACCAGUCUUGCCUGUGGUCUUCCUUGCACCAAUUGGUUUUCUAGCAGAAGACAGGAGUGUCGAAUGAGUGUGAGCUUUAGGUGAAUGUGUAGUUUCAGGUUCAUGCUUCCCAUUAGAGAUUUCCUUGGGUGCAUCUGCAAACUUAAGUUCAGGAAUUCCACUAACUGCAUCUGAUGAAUGAGAUGCAGCAACAGGCAAUGAAGGUAAUAAACUAUCUUCUGCAGAGCUUUUAGCAACCUCUUUAGAAAGUAUCUGCCUAUACAAUUCAGCCGCUCUAGAUGUGUAUUUUGUCUCAAUUUUACCACCAUCUGUCCAUCCAUGCUGUUUGAAAAAAACUUGAGCACGAUUAUUGCCUCCAAAUACCAUCAUCUUGAGUUGCUCAGGAGACCAUGAGUCUAAAUUGGUAGACCUAGAAUUCACAGAAACAAACUUCUUAAGAUCCUAUAAUUCACAGAAACAAAAUCCAAUUAGCUACUGAAAAAGUAAAUCAUGCCAUAAGAAAAAAAAUUAAAUAACAUAGGAAAAGUGCUAAGCAUAGUUCACAACAUUGCAUGAUACCAAUAUGAUAUGCCAUGAUGGUAUAGAAAUGGUAUAAGAUCAAUUCAAUUUUGGAAAUUUAACUGCUCAACCUUUUAGCAAGAAUAAUUGAAAAUUUCUAUAAUAGAUCAAGCUCAAUUGGGGUUGGCCAAAUUUAACCAAUUUCAGGCAGCUCGAAAGCAGCAAAAGAAGAAAAAGAAAUAGUCAAAGGAAAGAAGGGGAAUAAGGGAAGGUAGAUCAAGGGGGAAAAACAUAACAAACCUAUGACAACAAUUGUGAAAUAGAGAAGAUACUGCUACUAUUGCAUUUGUUAGUCGAUGCAAUCAUCAUAUUCAUCACUUUCAAUCGUUGUUGCAAUAUUAACAUUAUCAUCCACUACCGCAAUACACCGAAGGAAAAAGGAUUUAAGAUACCAGUUGGGAACCAAAAGGUGUGUUGCAGCUCAAAGAUGUUCAAGUUGUAGCAUUCAUUAAGGCUUUGACAAGGGUGUCGAGAAAAUAUGUUGAGAGGAUGUCAUGGGCUGCUGUUGCAGACCCACAAUGCACGCAGGAACUGUUGUGAAGCAACAGUCACAGUGCACAGAGAUGACAAACAUGGUCAUGCAGCAGCACAUUCUUUUGUGUAGUGUCGUUUUCAUGGACAAUCUAUACGGUAACAAGACAUGCAAUAGACCAGGAGCCUCAUUUUGACAUGUAUCUUCAGUCCUUGCAGUCGUUUAAGUCAGUCCAUGAGAGGAACAUUUAGUCAUUGCAUGAAGCACAAACAAGUGAAAAUAGCAUCUUCGGCCUGUAAGAAGGAGAUAUGCUAAGUAGAAAUAACUAACAAAACAUUAGUCAUCUCAACACCCAAGAACUCCCCUGAGCAAGCCAUUUAAGUGUGGCAACCUAAAAUGUCAGCCAUAGACAGUUUGUCGUAUGCCUGUUUUGAUGGCAAUAGGAUGUUGCAGUAAAUGCUUGUACAAUCCCGAAUUUUUGACAUGGGCAACAUGAUGACGGCAGUUUAUCCGCAAGCUAUUUGAAAGCAACUCUCUUGCAGGUGCUUCAGAAUUGCAGAGUGUUAUAACUAGGGUAGUCCCUUUGUGAACAAAUGUCACGUGGGGUUUAGGCAAAUUAGAUAAGUCUGUGAUAGCACGGGUUUGACCUAGAUUUGUUUCUUAAAUGAGGAUUCAUACGUAAUUAACCUAGAUCAACAAAAAUCUAUGAUAAAUCAGUGUGGACCUAGAUGGAAUUUGCAUGGACCUGUAGAUCCAUUUAUAUAUAGCCUAGUUUUAUGCAAAUGCAGGCCAAAUAUGUACAGAUCUAGCUUUAUAUAUAUAUACAUAUAUAUGUACAUAUAUGUACAUAUAUAUGUAUAUAUAUACAUAUACAUGCAUAUACAUAUACAUAUAUAUACAUAUAUGUGUGUGUAGCUUACAUUUAUGCAACUAGGCUAGCUCUGCUUGUAUCUCGGCUAUAUCCAAACAGAUCUCAGCAAGAUUCAUGUAAAUCAUAACCGAAGCUGAGACGAUCCACCUCAGAAUGCACAUCUAAGCUACAUUUUCAUAGGUUCAAUCUCACUUCAAUGAGAAAUUAGGAGAGGAAAUGUAUCUAAAAUGGAACCAUGACAUUAGGAUAAUAAAAUGAAAGAAAAGAGGCUUCAAUAAAAACAAAACCAAACUAAUUUUUUAGGUUGAGUUUCAUAUUUACCUUGGUUUGAAGGAAAACAAGAUUAUUCUGGUUUGAAGCUCGAUUUGCUAAAAAUUAAAGAAACAAAGAGGUUUGAGAUCUUAUUGCCAAUUAUUAAGCUUUCAAGGAACUGUUGAUCAUCACGGUGAAAUAAAUACUAUAUAAAGCUUUCAGUCUCUCUAUUUAUACAAAAUAAGAAGAGCAUCAAAGUACGGCAGCAUGGCCUCGUUUGAAGUUAAGAAUUGAUAAUUCUGAAGGAUAGAUGUGUUCAAUCGGCAAAAUCCAAAAACAACAAACCUCAAGCCGUCAAUACCCCAUCAAAUCACUGAAAGAGACACACAUCGUACCUAACAAAGCUAAUGUGCACGCCGAGGCUGCGGUGAACAGCGGAGCAAUCAAUGCAGAGGAAGAUCCCAUACGUCACCGACGACCAGGUGGGGUUCUUCGCGUUGCAAUCGAAGCACAUCUGCGAAGAAAGAAAGAAAGAAAGAUCCAUAGUCAGAAUCGCUAGAUCUGGAUUCCCAUUCCCAGAUCCCGAAACCGCAACCGAUCUCCGUAACCUAGAACAAAAUGAUAAGCAGAAAGGCAUUCCAAACAACACAAGAACAACAACAAGGAGGCAGAGAGGCGAGGUUGGACGGAUGACCUUGUUCUCGGACUUGGAUUUGAGCUUCUUGAAGACGGCGUUCUUGUCGGUGUGGUUCUCGGAGGCCAUGGCGGUAGAAUUGCUUGUGUGUUGCGGGUCGGAAUCGGAGAGGAGAGGAAAGAGCAAUCGAGGGAUGGAUGGAUCGAUCGAUCAAUGAAGCAUCGUCUUCUUUCCCCUCUCUCUCUCNNNNNNNNNNNNNNNNNNNNNNNNNNNNNNNNNNNNNNNNNNNNNNNNNNNNNNNNNNNNNNNNNNNNNNNNNNNNNNNNNNNNNNNNNNCCUUCCUCUCUCUCUCUCUCUCUCUCUCUCCCCCUUCUGUAUUUCCCGCUCGCUGGAAAAUUUUCGGUCUACGGAUCAAAACGACGGAAGAGAGAGGAGUUCAAAAUGAGUCAAAACAAAAGCAAAGGCCUUCCAGCGUUCAUGUGGCAGGGAAGGGGAAAUAGGGGUG
rnacentral:lncRNA from 1 species